UGGGUGGAGGUUAGGUUAGGUUUACAGAAGGCUGUGUGAUGGAGGUUAGGUUAGGUUUACAGAGGGCUGUGUGGUGGAGGUUAGGUUAGGUUUACAGAAGGCUGUGUGGUGGAGGUUAGAUUAGUUUUACAGAGGGCUGUGUGGUGUGAGGGUUAGGUUAGGUUUUCAGAGGGCUGUGUGGUGGAGGUUAGGUUAGGUUUCCAGAGGACUGUGUGGUGUGGAGGUUAGGUUAGGUUUGCAGAGGGCUGUGUGGUGGAGGUUAGGUUAGGUUUGCAGAGGGCUGUGUGGUGGAGGUUAGGUUAGGUUUGCAGAGGGCUGUGUGGUGGAGGUUAGGGUCGGUUUGCAGAAGGCUGUGGUGGAGGGUAGGUCACGUUUGCAGAGGGCUGUGUAAUGGAGGUUACCUUAGGUUUACAGAAGGCUGUGUGGUGGAGGUGGGGCCUUCUCCCUGCCCCAGGGUGGUCCCAUGCAGCCCGCAAAACACCCAUGUUCGGCACGGGUCCAGUGACCUCAGCAGGGAGGCAGCUCCCUGAUUACAAGACCAACUUUUGUUCUUGGACCAAAGCUGAUUUUGCCUUCUCUGUAGGAUAAUUGCGCAAAAGGUCACCAGAGUCAUUCUGAAAGCAGCAGGAGUUCUG
rnacentral:lncRNA from 1 species